rnacentral:lncRNA from 1 species
GAGACGGUGUGGAACCGCCGGCCGCAUGCGGGGCUGGAGUUCGGGGCUGCCAAUGGGCUAAGGCCCUGUGUUCAACACAUGUCGCGGAACUGUCGUGAAAAAAAGACUCAGGACCACAGGUCCGGGGUGCUCCCAGGGGUCUUUCCCACCGAGGCUGGGAGUGAGCAGCAGCCUAGGCCCAGCCACACCUCCCAGGCUCGGGAGCUGCCAGGCCAGGCAACCGUGAAGGGUAGCAGGGUGGGGGGUGGAGGGGAGGACAGGGAGAGCAGGCCUCUCGGGCCUCACCCACCCUUGCACCUUCCAGCUCUAGGGCCCACACAGUACCAAGCCCUGGGCUCAAUGUACCACUUAUGAAAACUCAAUUCAAAUUGGCUUAGUGCAACAAGGUAUUUGGUGGUCUCACAUGACUUGAACAUCCAGGCCUGGCUGUCACGGGAACCGCAUCUCUUCCCAUUGCAGCUACUUGGCAGGUGGCGGGAUGUCCCCCAGCCACCGACGUCCCCCUGCCUGCUCCGCAACCCCAGGGCCUGCAGAAAAGGCCCACGAGACUCAGACUGGCAGAGACUUAGGCGGACCAGGAACAGGGGCGCAGUCUCCGUCCCACCCAAACCCUAACCAGAGAGAACACGGCACGUUGUGCCAGACGGAGGACGGAUGCCAGCGAGGGUCCAUGUCCUCACUGCCGACAAGGCUGGGAACUGGGCCAAGUGAAGCAGAGGCCUCCACGUCAGAUGUGAGCGCCACCGGCCCAGGUGACUGCAGUUCUUCCCUCCUUCCGUUCGGCUUGAGCCCUCCAGAGGAUCGGAAAGGCUGAGGCCUGACCUGGUGCCGCUGUCCUGGGAAAUUUAACAGAAGUAUAUAAAAAGAAACCAGAAGUCACCCGGGAGUCUGAGCACUGUGCUCUCUGGGGCCUUUCCUUUCGGCCUUCUUCCUUCCAGCCCUUUCCCUGCACACUGGACAGAGUGGCUGAGUCUCUCUCGUAAGCCCACAGGGUUAUGAUCGCUGUGCAGGUAAGGAGACUACACGUGUGCCCCAUGUCAGAAGCACCUGUGCCUGGCCUGGGCACUGCACUGGGGGUGAGGCCUGGGGCCAGGCCCCACGUGGGGGCAGAACGGAGCUAUCCAUCCAGCCAGGGACCUCAUCUAGGGAUUGGGGGCAGCAAGGGGCUGGUAAGGGCCAGAGGUAAUUCCAGGGCCACUCUGUGCCCUACCCUCAGGUGGGGCACAAGGGUGGGGGCACUGCGCUGGGUAGAAGCCCCCCGCCAGCCCCUGGCCCACCAGUCAUCUGUCAGAUACGGAGGCAGGGGUGAGGGGAGGGUGUGCUGGGGAAGUCAAUGCAUCCAGCCUCGAAUCAGUGAGUCCCUAGGCCUUGGGUAAGGCAGGGCUGCAGGGAUGGCAGUGAGGACAAGGGGCUCACCUCCCCCCAGCAGCCCCACUUCACAUGUUUGUUUCUUGAGUUCAGUGCUCAUAGACUUAAAAAAAAAAAA